AAUACGUUCCCGGGCCUUGUACACACCGCCCGUCAAGCCAUGGAAGCUGGGGGUACCUGAAGUCGGUGACCGCAAGGAGCUGCCUAGGGUAAAACUAGUAACUAGGGCU
rnacentral:rRNA from 1 species